UGAAGUCAUUCAACAUGUCCUAACCAGAUGGAGCAGUGAGUUCCUUAUGUUGUCUUGUCUUUUUGAGCUGAGACCUGUUAUUGCAGCACAUCUUGCUGCUAAUGAUGCACACACUGACAGCAACUGAGUGGUGCAGAGCAUGUUCUUAUGUGUCAGUCCUCAAGUCAACUCUGCUUGAAAAGGAAUUGGGUAACACUGAGGCUGAAAUCACAGCAUUUGCCAGGAACCUGCUGAAGUGACUGAGAACAAGAUUUCCAGACUACAAGAUGACCCUCCUUUGCGUGCCAACAACAUUGCUGGACCCGAGAUUUAAAGAUGUCUGCUUUGAGACUGAGUCAGAAAAGAACCAUGCAAAGAUUCUGUUAUGCAUAGAUAUCGAAAAAGAACUUCUGGAAGCUUCUUAAUCUUAAAAUGAAGUUGUUGCACAGGCAAGUGGGGAAGCUGCAGACAAUAAUUCAACUGUGCGGGGCGUGUUCGAAGAGCCAGCAACAAGUAAGAGAGCGUCUUCGACAACAUUCACAACACAUCAGGUUGCUCAGUACCUUGAAUCAUCGUUGCUACCUAGACAGAACAACCCACUAUCCUGGUGGAAAGCGGUAGGACAGACAAGGUAUCAGAGAUAAGGCAGCACUGAAGUACCUUUCAAUGCCAGCGACACAAGUUGCUAGUGAGAGAUCGAGAGUGAGAGAUUACGAAUCGUCGCACAGAUCUCUUGCCGGAGCAUGUUGAGCAGUUAGUGCUUUUGCAUGGAAACAACCUGUGAAUGUUAAAAAAAAAUUGUGUAUCUUAUCUGCUUUAUUAAAAGGAAGAUUUCUGCA